rnacentral:rRNA from 1 species
UUUUUACAAUGGAGAGUUUGAUCCUGGCUCAGGAUGAACGCUAGCUACAGGCUUAACACAUGCAAGUCGAGGGGCAGCAUUAUCGAAGCUUGCUUUGAUAGAUGGCGACCGGCGCACGGGUGAGUAACGCGUAUCCAACCUUCCCCAUAGUCAGGAAUAGCCCGGCGAAAGUCGAAUUAAUGCCUGAUGUUUUCCACGGACGGCAUCAGAUGUGGAACAAAGAUUUAUCGCUAUGGGAUGGGGAUGCGUCUGAUUAGCUUGUUGGCGGGGUAACGGCCCACCAAGGCGACGAUCAGUAGCCGGACUGAGAGGUUGAACGGCCACAUUGGGACUGAGAUACGGCCCAG